rnacentral:rRNA from 1 species
AACGAACGCUGGCGGCAUGCCUAACACAUGCAAGUCGAACGAGACCUUCGGGUCUAGUGGCGCACGGGUGCGUAACGCGUGGGAAUCUGCCCUUCGGUUGGGAAUAACUGAGAGAAAUUUCAGCUAAUACCUUAUAAUGUCUUCGGACCAAAGAUUUAUCGCCGAGGGAUGAGCCCGCGUAGGAUUAGGUAGUUGGUGGGGUAAUGGCCUACCAAGCCGACGAUCCUUAGCUGGUCUGAGAGGAUGAUCAGCCACACUGGGACUGAGACACGGCCCAGACUCCUACGGGAAGCAGCAGUGGGGAAUAUUGGACGAUGGGCGAAAGCCUGAUCCAGCAAUGCCGCGUGAGUGAUGAAGGCCUUAGGGUUGUAAAGCUCUUUUACCCGGGAUGAUAAUGACAGUACCGGGAGAAUAAGCUCCGGCUAACUCCGUG